rnacentral:rRNA from 1 species
UACAGAGGUGGCAAGCGUUGCUCGGAAUUACUGGGCGUAAAGGGCGCGUAGGCGGCCAUCUAAGUCAGACGUGAAAUCCCCCGGCUUAACCUGGGAACUGCGUCUGAUACUGGAGGGCUUGAGUGCGGGAGAGGGAUGUGGAAUUCCAGGUGUAGCGGUGAAAUGCGUAGAUAUCAGGAGGAACACCGGUGGCGAAGGCGGCAUCCUGGACCGGCAUUGACGCUGAGGCGCGAAAGCUAGGGGAGCAAACGGG